AACUGGGUUAUCUUGAUAGCUCGUGAUGAAAGUAAUUUAAUAAUAAUCUAGUUUAGGUGGAUAGUUGCAGUCCUACAAAUUCAUCGUAUCCAGUAUCAGUAUUUUUAAACCAAUUAUUAUGAAAUUAGAAGGAAAGACAGUGUUCAUUACCGGGGCCGCCCAGGGCUUAGGACAAGGAAUUACUGAGGCCCUACUAGAAAGAGGGGCGAAGGUUUGUGUUGCUGACGUGAACCUCGAAAAGGGUGAAGAAACUGUCAAACAGUUCCAACAGAAGUUCGGCAAGGAAACUGUAUUCUUUAUCAAAGCUGAUGUAACCAAUGAAAAGGAGUUUGAAGAUGCAUUUAAAGAAGCCGUGACACGUCUUGGUAAUAUAGAUAUUAUGGUCAACAACGCUGGUAUAAUGGAUGAAAGUAAAUGGGAAUUAAUGAUACAAAUUAAUGUUGUGGACAAGUUUGGUUAGAGGAACCAAUAUGGCGAUAGCUCACAUGAAUAAAGUAACUGGUGGUAAAGGGGGCCUUGUAAUAAACACCGCAUCUGUAGCAGGGUUUGCACCAGGAGUAUCUUUUCCUGUUUAUGGAGGAACAAAACAUGCUGUUAUAGGAUUUACUACUAGUUGGGCGGCCAAUCCAAAUGUUGAAUCAAUGGGGAUCAGAUUUGCUUGUUUAUGUCCGUCUCCGGCAGAUACAGCCCUUUUGGAUUUAAAAGACCACCAGGGCAUCAUGGUCAGCCGGUUUACCAAAUUCAUUAAUGAAGUGUUGGGUGUGGCACCAGUUAGUAAGAUCGUAGAAGGAUUUAUUACAUUGGUAGAAAAAGACGAUAAUAAUGGCGCACUCUUACUUGUUGGUAAAAAUGAAGGAAUACAAUUUGUAAAUCGGUUUUAUGAUCCAAUGGCUUCGUUAUCAAAACAAAAACAGGAUGAUACUGCAAAGACUUCCUAAAAUGUAUAAUUCGGUCAGUUUAGCGACGAAAUUGUGUAAAAUAGAAUUAAUAGAUACCCGGUGAUUGUGAAAAAUUGACCAUGCAUUUUCAGGCGUCACUGUAUUAUAAAUAACAAGAAACACUGUGUUAAUUAAAAAAGAUAAAUACAUGUAGUUAACAAUAAAUAUUUUUUCAGUGAUUUGAUGGAAAUAGCUUUAUAGUUGGUGAAAUAGUACCAUUAGCUAGAAGAUUCGUCCAAUAGUACAGAAUAAAUACACAAAACCCAGCGAACUGGGGAUAAACUACUGUUUGGCCAUUUUUUAAAAUAAUUUUAAUUUUCUUUUUGGAUGUUUAUUCUAACUUAUAUGCUAUUACCACGUGAUAUUUAUUCAGUGGCAUACACCGUUCCCAUUGGCCUAUUGCGGAUUUUAAAAAAUAGUGUCUAAAACGUGAAAUCAGCAAAUAGGCUUCAAAUACAUUUAUCUGUAGCCAAUAUAAAUUUCUUAAAAUUGUAUUUCAUAAACCUGACAUUUGAUAUGAUCUGAUUUGUAUUCAUCGUAAAUAAACGGGUAUAUAGACUUGCUA